CGAUGUGGUUCAUUUGCAGUGAUAUCACAAAUAUAUUUGUUGCAGGACCAGAAUACACCCCUGGCACAUUCACUGAGAGAGAGAGAGAGAGAGAGAGAGGGACAGAGAGAGA